GCAAGGCAUUCUGGGAUUGGUUUGAACGAGGAAGUAAGAGCGGUGCAAGUUGAGCAGAGGUUUUGAUUCAGAAAACCACAUUAGAACAUUUAGAACUUCUCUUACGUCCUGUUAAUUAUGUUAUAGCUUAUAAUUAUUUAUCUUUUUUAUCACUCCGCCUAUUUAGUUCAUUUAUUUUUAAUAUUAUUCAUUUUGCACUUUCCAUUGUUGAGUGAGACCGGGAACAGCAUGAGGCAGGAGAAUUGAAAGUUCCAGAAACAAUUCAUUACAGUUUUGACUUGAAUGAUGUCUGAGUUACAAAAAGAGAUUAAGCAAACCUUACUGUGAGUAAUACCAAGCCUUCCUGACGAGCCACUCAAUCAGUCAGUUGAGAAAUGUGUAGGCUGAGGAGUAGAAGAUUUAAUGUACGUGAAAGAAGAGGACUUCUUAAGAGUUCAUACAACCUGUCCAGUGCCAAACUGUUCAGCACCUGGAUAGAUCAUGAACAAAGAAGCAGCAUUUUGCUUCAGUAAUUAGUUUGACCUAGGUCUCCUCAAAAUUCACCACAAAUGAGCUCCUCAGACUCCUCAGUAAGAAAAUAGAUGUACUCACACUUCAAGCAGAUGCAUUUUCCACUUCAGCAAAUGCCCAAGGAACACUCAACUUGCCUGACAGUCCUUAAAUUAUAAUUCUUGGUCAAACUCUAAGCAACCAGCAGUGGAUGGUGAGCAUUGAAGGCCACGUUGUAUGUGAGGGAACACAACUCAGCUUUGUCUGUGGCCGUACUGCUGUGUUUGCUUCAUGUGUGGACACUUUUUCUUUGGUGUCGUUUCUUGUGACUGAAGACAGAGAAAGCAAAAUUAAAACGAUUUAUUGACAUCAACCCUGAACAAAUGUCCAAGGCCAAUCAAGGAAAAGCUUCAUCCAUGAAGACUAGCCAAGUAGUCCAUAACAAGAAGAACGCAGUAAACCCUCAUUUUUCCUAUCCACUUUGUAAGAUAAUGGACUUUGAACGUAAUUCAUCCAAGACUACUUUGUUCACUUUUAAUUUUGACAGUUUAGGCAAUUUUUGUCUAACAUGGUGUUCUUAUUUUAUUUUAAUGUGAAAGUCAACAUUGGUGUUAUACUUUUAAAUUUAGUAUUGAAUGCUGCACUAUGUUUAUUGCCAGUGUUUCCCACCUCUGUUACAAUCAUUUGUGUUUAUCUGAAAUAAUGAAAGACUGCUAACUAUUAAAAAAACUGGUAAUGUAAAAACCUAAU